UGGGGAAUCUUGCGCAAUGGGCGAAAGCCUGACGCAGCCAUGCCGCGUGAAUGAUGAAGGUCUUAGGAUUGUAAAAUUCUUUCACCGGGGACGAUAAUGACGGUACCCGGAGAAGAAGCCCCGGCUAACUUCGUGCCAGCAGCCGCGGUAAUACGAAGGGGGCUAGCGCUGCUCGGAAUUACUGGGCGUAAAGGGCGCGUAGGCGGACAUUUAAGUCAGGGGUGAAAUCCCAGAGCUCAACUCUGGAACUGCCUUUGAUACUGGAUGUCUUGAGUAUGAGAGAGGUAUGUGGAACUCCGAGUGUAGAGGUGAAAAUUCGUAGAUAUUCGGAAGAACACCAGUGGCGAAGGCGACAUACUGGCUCAUUACUGACGCUGAGGCGCGAAAGCGUGGGGAGCAAACAGGAUUAGAUACCCUGGUAGUCCACGCCGUAAACGAUGAUUGCUAGUUGUCGGGAUGCAUGCAUCUCGGUGACGCAGCUAACGCAUUAAGCAAUCCGCCUGGGGAGUACGGUCGCAAGAUUAAAAACUC
rnacentral:rRNA from 1 species